rnacentral:tRNA from 1 species
GGCUCCAUUGUGUAGCGAUUAGCACGUCUGCUUUACACACAAAAGGCCCUGGGUUCACGCCCCAGGUGGAGCCA